AGCAGUAGCCGCGGUAAAACGAAGGGUGCAAGCGUUACUCGGAAUUACUGGGCGUAAAGCGUGCGUAGGUGGUGGUUUAAGUCCGUUGUGAAAGCCCUGGGCUCAACCUGGGAAUUGCAGUGGAUACUGGGUCACUAGAGUGUGGUAGAGGAUAGUGGAAUUUCCGGUGUAGCAGUGAAAUGCGUAGAGAUCGGAAGGAACAUCUGUGGCGAAGGCGACUAUCUGGGCCAACACUGACACUGAGGCACGAAAGCGUGGGGAGCAAACAGGAUUAGAUACCCCCGUAGUCCCUGUCUCUUAUAC
rnacentral:rRNA from 1 species